rnacentral:lncRNA from 10 species
GUUAAUAUUGAGUGUCUACUUGACCGGAUUGAAGGAUGCAAAGUAUUCAUCCUGGGUGUGUCUGUGGGGGUGUUGCCAAAGGAGGUUAACAUAUGAGUCAGUGAACUGGGAGAGGUAGACCCACCCUCAAUCUGGAUGAGCACCAUCCCCUGGGCUGCCAGCUGAGCUAGAAAAGGCAGACAGAAGAAGAUGACUAAGCAGACUUUCUGAGUCUUCCAGCCUUUCUCCUGUAUUGAAUGCUUUUUGCCUUGAACAUCAGACUCCAAGCUCUUCAGCUUUUGGACUCUUGGACUUACACCAGUGGUUUGCCAGGGACCCUCGGGCCUUUGGCCACAGACUGAAGGCUGCACUGUCAGUUUCCCUACUUUUGAGGUUUUGGGACUCAGACUGAUCUGCCACUGGCUUCCUUGGUCCUCAACUAGCAGACAGCCUAUCAUGGAACUUUACCUUGUGAUGGUAAUAACGUAGAUGACAGGAAGAAAUAGCAUUUGAAAAAAAUUGCAUGCUUGAAAAAGUGGAACAAUACUAACCAGUGCCUAAGAGGGGCACAAAACUGUCUAUACUUUUUACACUUCAAUGGAUGUGAAAUAAUUACAUCUUAUGGAAUCAGAAUUUCAGAGUUCAAAGAAAUAUUAAUGGUCUUUCAGGCUACGAAUAAGAAAACUGAGAAGGGAGAAACAAGAGCUCUUUCUUUUACACCAAAGAGAGGCCACGUGAGGACAUAAUGAAAAGAAGGCCAUCAGCAAAAAAAGAAGAGGACGGUCACCAGACUCCAAAUCUACUGGCACCUUGAUUCUGGACUUCCUAUUCUCCAGAACUGUGAGAAUUAAAUGUAUGUUGUUUAAGCCUCCCAGCCAACUAUUUUGUUAUAGCAGCCUGAACUGACUGACACAUAUGGAUAUUCUAUAAUUUGUUUUUUCACUCAUCUGUUGAUGGGCAUUUGAGUUAUUUAUAAUUUGGGGGUAUUAAAAAUCAAUAUUCUAUGACAAUUUAAGUGCAAGUUUUCUGUUGAGUAAGUACAAAUGGAAUGAUUGGAUCAUCUGGAGGGCAUUGCAUUGUCAAUGUUUUCCAAAGUGCUGAAAAACUAGCAUAGUUGUCACCUCAUUUUAUUUUUCAUACUCGGAACUUUGGUUUGGAUCUUUUUGACCAUCUACUCAUCAUGGUUGCACUUUCUUGCUGUCUCAUACCUGACAAUUCUCACUUGGAUAUUAGACAUUGUGAACUUGUUGCAUGUUUGAUAUUUCCUAUAAAUAUUCUUGACCUUGUUCUGCAACAUAGUGAAAGUUUUGGAAAACAGUUGAUUUUAUGAAAGUUUCAUUCUGAGUAAUUCUUAAAUUGAAUUACAUGGAUUUUUACUGUGGAUGGAGGAACAUAAACAAUUGCUGGCCCUGUAUACAACCCCUGGAAUGUUUCCUUUGUUUGUUUUGUUUCCUCUGUUUCUUUCCUUGCCCUCAGGUAUUUUUAUCAUAUGCAUGUGCUCACCAGUACUCAGUUGAAGAUCAGAGGGAGACUCCUGGUAGAUUUCCAGACUCUGUUAUUCUGUCUUGCAAACUCUACACACAUUGAUCUCCCUAGACACCCAGUUGGUCCCUUCAACUCAGAGACAUUGCCAGGUUCGG